GACGGGGGGGGCAAGUGUUCUUCGGAAUGACUGGGCGUAAAGGGCAACGUAGGCGGUGAAUCGGGUUGAAAGUGAAAGUCGCCAAAAAGUGGCGGAAUGCUCUCGAAACCAAUUCACUUGAGUGAGACAGAGGAGAGUGGAAUUUCGUGUGUAGGGGUGAAAUCCGUAGAUCUACGAAGGAACGCCAAAAGCGAAGGCAGCUCUCUGGGUCCCUACCGACGCUGGGGUGCGAAA
rnacentral:rRNA from 1 species